rnacentral:rRNA from 1 species
UGGGGAAUAUUGGACAAUGGGGGAAACCCUGAUCCAGCAAUGCCGCGUGAGUGAAGAAGGCCUUAGGGUUGUAAAGCUCUUUCGCCCGCGAAGAUAAUGACGGUAGCGGGAGAAGAAGCCCCGGCUAACUCCGUGCCAGCAGCCGCGGUAAUACGGAGGGGGCUAGCGUUGUUCGGAAUUACUGGGCGUAAAGCGUACGUAGGCGGAUGCGCAAGUUGGGGGUGAAAUCCCGGGGCUUAAUCUCGGAAUUGCCCUCAAAACUGCACGUCUUGAGACCGAGAGAGGUAAGGGGAAUUCCUAGUGUAGAGGUGAAAUUCGUAGAUAUUAGGAAGAAAACCAGUGGCGAAGGCGCCUUACUGGCUCGGUACUGACGCUGAGGUACGAAAGCGUGGGGAGCAAACA